UCCGUAGGUGAACCUGCGGAAGGAUCAUUAUUGAUGGGCUCUCCGCCCAAAGAUAGAACCCUUGCCUUUGUGUAUCCUGUGUUUCCUCGGCGGGUUCGCCUGCCAGUGAGGACCAAACAAAACCUUUUAUAAAUAUCUAUAGUAAACGUCUUAAAAACAAAUCGUUAAAACUUUCAACAACGGAUCUCUUGGUUCUGGCAUCGAUGAAGAACGCAGCGAAAUGCGAUAAGUAGUGUGAAUUGCAGAAUUUAGUGAAUCAUCGAAUCUUUGAACGCACAUUGCGCCCUUUGGUAUUCCUUAGGGCAUGCCUGUUCGAGCGUCAUUUAACCCCUUCAAGCUCUGCUUGGUGUUGGGCGUUUGUCCCUGCCUCGUGCGCGGACUCGCCUUAAAAUCAUUGGCGGCCUUUGGAUUCGGCUCGAGCGCAGCACAUCGCGUCUCGGCCCGGCCCGCUGGCGUCCAGCAAGCGCAACUUUAUUUUGACCCUCGGAUCAGGUAGGGAUACCCCGCUGAACUUAA
rnacentral:rRNA from 1 species